AGUUUGAUCCUGGCUCAGGAUGAACGCUGGCGGCGUGCCUAAUACAUGCAAGUCGAACGAAUCUCUUUUAGAGAUGAGUGGCGAACGGGUGAGUAAUACAUAGGUAACCUGCCCCUGUGCGGGGGAUAACAGGAGGAAACUCCUGCUAAUACCGCAUAGCCAUGAGCACCGCAUGGAGCUCAUGCCAAAUAUCCUUUCGGGGAUAGCGCAGGGAUGGACCUAUGGCGCAUUAGCUGGUUGGCGGGGCAACGGCCCACCAAGGCAACGAUGCGUAGCCGGCCUGAGAGGGCGGACGGCCACAUUGGGACUGAGACACGGCCCAGACUCCUACGGGAGGCAGCAGUAGGGAAUUUUCGGCAAUGGGGGAAACCCUGACCGAGCAACGCCGCGUGAGCGAAGAAGGCCUUCGGGUCGUAAAGCUCUGUUGUAAAGGAAGAACGGCGCAUACAGGAAAUGGUAUGCGAGUGACGGUACUUUACCAGAAAGCCACGGCUAACUACGUGCCAGCAGCCGCGGUAAUACGUAGGUGGCGAGCGUUAUCCGGAAUCAUUGGGCGUAAAGAGGGAGCAGGCGGCCGCAAGGGUCUGUGGUGAAAGACCGAAGCUAAACUUCGGUAAGCCAUGGAAACCGGGCGGCUAGAGUGCGGAAGAGGAUCGUGGAAUUCCAUGUGUAGCGGUGAAAUGCGUAGAUAUAUGGAGGAACACCAGUGGCGAAGGCGACGGUCUGGGCCGCAACUGACGCUCAUUCCCGAAAGCGUGGGGAGCAAAUAGGAUUAGAUACCCUAGUAGUCCACGCCGUAAACGAUGGUCACUAAGUGUCGGGGGUCAAACCCCGGUGCUGCAGUCAACGCAAUAAGUGACCCGCCUGAGUA
rnacentral:rRNA from 1 species